CCUACGGGAGGCUGCAGUCGAGAAUCAUUCACAAUGGGGGAAACCCUGAUGGUGCGACGCCGCGUGGGGGAAUGAAGGUCUUAGGAUUGUAAACCUCUGUCAUGUGGGAGCAAAUUAAAAAGAUAGUACCACAAGAGGAAGAGACGGCUAACUCUGUGCCAGCAGCCGCGGUAAUACAGAGGUCUCAAGCGUUGUUCGGAAUCACUGGGCGUAAAGCGUGCGUAGGCUGUUUCGUAAGUCGUGUGUGAAAGGCGCGGGCUCAACCCGCGGAUGGCACAUGAUACUGCGAGACUAGAGUGAUGGAGGGGGAACCGGAAUUCUAGGUGUAGCAGUGAAAUGCGUAGAUAUCGAGAGGAACACUCGUGGCGAAGGCGGGUUCCUGGACAUUAACUGACGCUGAGGCACGAAGGCCAGGGGAGCGAAAGGGAUUAGAUAUCCGUGUAGUC
rnacentral:rRNA from 1 species